rnacentral:misc_RNA from 1 species
AUCUCAUGAUCAGAUAUUCUGGUUCGGGGAUUUGAAUUAUCGAAUCAAUAUGUUGGAUGCUGAGGUGCGGAAGCUAGUCACCAGAAAACAAUGGGAUGAACUUCUCAACAACGACGAGUUAAUCAAAGAACUUCGAAAUGGACAUGUCUUUGCCGGUUGGAGGGAAGGGGCGAUUAACUUUGCACCAACAUACAAGUAUGAGAUCAAUACAGAUAGAUAUGUCGGGGAGAUUCCAAGAGACGGGGAGAAGAAGAGAUCGCCGGCUUGGUGUGACCGUAUACUGUGGUCAGGGAAAGGUAUAAAACAGCUCUUUUACAAGCGAGCCGAGUUAAGACUAUCUGAUCACAAGCCUGUAAGCUCAAUGUUCUCGGUAGACGUUGAAAUAUUCGAUCACAGAAAGCUCCAGAGAGUCCUGAAUGUUAACACCGCCGCUGUACAUCCAGAGAUCCUGCUAGAUAUUGAAGAGUAAGAGUUCAGCCUUUUCAGAUAAGUUUUAAUUUUAUCAAGAAUGACAAGUAAGUGAGUCGGUAUUAAUAACGCGAAGAUUUUAGUGUUUACAGUUAGGAAUCAGAAAUGAAGCAUAGUGUAUUCGUGUACAUAUGUACUUCAAGGUAGAGGCGAAAUCCAAGACCUAGAGUCAGUGGAUUCUGAAUGUGUUGGACUUUCAAAGAUGAUAAGACGCGAGUUCGAGAAAUCAUUUGGUGUUUUCAGUUAGGAAUCAGAAAUGAAGCA